rnacentral:lncRNA from 1 species
ACCCUAAUGUUGUCUUCUGCUUGUUGUAGUUUAUACCUGGAUAGUGUAUGAGAGUUAGAUAAUAGGCAAUAGGAAAAGGAAAUUGUUAUGUAAAGCUUUUUGAUCAUGCAAGCAACCAAGCAGGGACAUGGGCAAUCAGCAAUUCAUCACAAGCUGUCAUUGUUUUACUUAAAUUUAAAUUGAAUACAAUAAUUAAUCUCUCUACCUCUGUACAAUCUAGCACUAAGUAAGUCCUUAAUUUUUUUUAUAAAAACUGUAAGAAAGUGAAAUGACUGUGCGGCACAAUCUAUAUGCAGUGAUGAUCCCUCAGGAUAUAACUUGAGAAGGUCAUCGGGGUAAGAAAUACCAGACUGGUUAAAAAAGGUAAUGGAAGAGAAACCAGGUUUUAUUUAGCAGUAUACAGCAGGUCUCUUCAGUAGAAACAAGCAACUGAUGUUUAACUGUUACCUAAAAAUUUGAACGCGCAUGAACCAAUUAAACUGUACAGCAGGCAGUAGGCCAGAAAAUGCUCAAUGAGAAGUGUGUCAGUACUGCAUUAAGUACAUGUCUAUUAUUCGUACCUUCAGUUAGCAGCUAAAUUCACAAACCAUGGUUUGCAGCUGGUCAUAUGACCCAUCGGAAAGUGCAGACAAGGCACUAAGAAAUGGAUGCCACAUGCAAUGCUCAUCAACAGAACUAAGAUACAACACUGUUCAAGUCGUGUUCCUUGCAUCAACUAGUCUAUUUUCAACCUUAAUAAUAAAAAGUAAGAACACACAUUAAGCACAAUCACAAACCCAAUCAAGUCAGCUUCUCACCUGCUAAAAUAAGACCAUUGAAUAGCGAACGUCUGAACCAUUCUGACUAGCUUUCCCCGUGGCAAUCAGAAGGCGUGUCUGCCAACAUCUCAUUGCACGAUAGCAACAGAACUGGUCCUCACAUGUUGAACCCAGUUUGCAUGGGAUCCCCGUGCUACUUAUCCACAUGUUGAACCCAGCAUGCACCAAA